AAAGUAUUUCAUUGACGUACACAAUUAGCUUUAUUUAUUUAACUACAUAUGGUAGCUCAGGCAUAUUGUGUACCCAGGGUCAACACUAGUAAUUAAUCUUUAAAAGGUUAAGUACCAAGUAUAAUAACCCAAGACUCCUAAUCUAGUCUAAGGUUCAUCCCACAACACCAAUGUCUUAUAUUAUAAUAGUUAGGCAACUAAGCCAUAGAAAUAAAUAUUAAAGGGAUGGCAAAAGUGGUGCCAGCAGUCGCGGUUAUACCUCUACCCCAAGUUAACUUUCAACGAACUUAGGAUAAUUCUAAUAAGGACUUCAAGACCAACUUUUAAUGUAAAAAGUAUAUUAUAAAUACACCCGAUCAAGUCCUAUUUAUCCUUAUCCUCACAAACCACAACCUCAGAACUCGGAUUAGAUACCCGACUACUGUGUGGCCUAACCUACAAAAGAAUACUACAAACGAAAGUUUAAAACUCAAACAAUGUGGCGGUGCUUUACUCCUCAUCAGGGGAUCCUGUGACUUAAAUCGAUAAUCCACGAUACACCCAAGCUCUUCUUGUAUCACAGCUUGUGUAUGGCCGUUUAAGCUUGCUCAAAAAAGAUAUUAAAGGAAGCAAUUUAGGACUACAACCCUAACAAUUCAGGUGACAUACAGCCAAUGAAGAGCCGCCUCAUGGGAUACAAAUAGCCAAAACUACUGAAAUCUAACCUUUAAAAUUAGAUGAAAGAGGACUUGAAAGUAAGGUCAACGCACCAAGUAGACCUGAACAAGAACUAAAGCGCGUACAAAUCGCCCGUCACUCCGACAGUAAAGUCGGAUAAGUCGUAACAUAGUAGGAGUAAUGGAAAUUGCCCCUAUAUAUAC
rnacentral:ncRNA from 1 species